UGUGGCCUUAGCUCAGUUGGUAGAGCGCCUGACUGUUAAUCAGGUUGUCGUUGGUUCGAGUCCAACAGGCUACGU
rnacentral:tRNA from 1 species